rnacentral:rRNA from 1 species
UACAGAGGGUGCAAGCGUUAAUCGGAAUUACUGGGCGUAAAGGGCGCGUAGGCGGUGUGUCAAGUCAGGCGUGAAAGCCCCGGGCUCAACCUGGGAACCGCGCUUGAGACUGGCACGCUCGAGUUCGGGAGAGGAUGGUGGAAUUCCCAGUGUAGAGGUGAAAUUCGUAGAUAUUGGGAAGAACACCGAUGGCGAAGGCAGCCAUCUGGACCGACACUGACGCUGAGGCGCGAAAGCGUGGGGAGCAAACAGG